rnacentral:rRNA from 1 species
CUGCAGCUCAAGUGGUGACCACUAUUAUUGGGCCUAAAACGUUCGUAGCCGGUUUGGUAAAUGCCUGGGUAAAUCGUGUAGCUUAACUAUACGAAUUCCGGGUAGACUGCCAAACUUGAGACCGGGAGAAGCUAGAGGUACUCCUGGGGUAGAGGUGAAAUUCUGUAAUCCUGGGGGGACCACCAGUGGCGAAGGCGUCUAGCUAGAACGGGUCUGACGGUGAGGAACGAAGCCCCGGGGCGCAAACCGGAUUAGAUACCCGAGUAGUCC